rnacentral:rRNA from 1 species
UACGUAGGGGGCAAGCGUUGUCCGGAUUUAUUGGGCGUAAAGAGCGUGUAGGCGGCUUUGCAAGUCCGUUGUGAAAACUCGAGGCUCAACCUCGAGACGCCGGUGGAAACUGCAAAGCUAGAGUCCGGAAGAGGAGAGUGGAAUUCCUGGUGUAGCGGUGAAAUGCGCAGAUAUCAGGAGGAACACCGGUGGCGAAGGCGGCAUCCUGGACCGGCAUUGACGCUGAGGCGCGAAAGCCAGGGGAGCAAACGGG